rnacentral:rRNA from 1 species
CCUACGGGUGGCAGCAGUGAGGAAUAUUGGUCAAUGGGCGCGAGCCUGAACCAGCCAAGUCGCGUGAGGGAAGACGGCCCUACGGGUUGUAAACCUCUUUUGCCGGGGAGCAACGGGCGCCACGUGUGGCGCCACUGAGAGUACCCGGAGACAAAGCAUCGGCUAACUUCGUGCCAGCAGCCGCGGUAUUACGGAGGAUGCGAGCGUUAUCCGGAUUUAUUGGGUUUAAAGGGGGCGUAGGCGGAGCGUUCAGUCAGUGGUCAAAUGGAGGGGCUAAACCCCUUCCCGCCAUUGAAACUGGCGAUCUUGAGUGGAAGAGAGGUAUGCGGAAUGCGUGGUGUAGCGGUGAAAUGCAUAGAUAUCACGCAGAACCCCGAUGGCGAAGGCAGCAUGCCGGCUUCCGACUGACGCUGAAGCACGAAAGCGUGGGGAUCGAACAGGAUUAGAUACCCGUGUAGUC